CCUACGGGAGGCAGCAGUGGGGAAUCUUGCACAAUGGAGGAAACUCUGAUGCAGCGAUGCCGCGUGAGUGAAGAAGGCCUUUGGGUUGUAAAGCUCUUUUGUAGGGGAAGAUAAUGACUGUACCCUAAGAAUAAGGUCCGGCUAACUUCGUGCCAGCAGCCGCGGUAAUACGAAGGGACCUAGCGUAGUUCGGAAUUACUGGGCGUAAAGCGCGCGUAGGCCGUUGAGUUAGUUAAUUGUGAAAUCCCAAAGCUUAACUUUGGAACUGCAAUUAAAACUGCUCGACUAGAGUUUGAUAGAGGAAAGCGGAAUACAUAGUGUAGAGGUGAAAUUCGUAGAUAUUAUGUAGAACACCAGUUGCGAAGGCGGCUUUCUGGAUCAACACUGACGCUGAGGCGCGAAAGUAUGGGUAGCAAAGAGGAUUAGAUACCCUCGUAGUCCAUACCAUAAACGAUGAUUGCUAGAUGUUGGAAAUUUAUUUUCAGUAUCGCANCUACGCAUAAGUACAUACCGCCGUCGGGUAGGUACGACCGACCGAACGUUAAACGUAACGAAAUAGAAGUUAAGUACGGCGUUGAGACGUUGCCGAACGGCGACGACGAGGGAGGAGG
rnacentral:rRNA from 1 species